rnacentral:rRNA from 1 species
UUAAGAGCGACGGGCGAUGUGUACAUAUUCUAGAGCUAUAAUCAUUUUAAAUAAAUAUAUUUAAUUACUAUCAAAUCCAAAUUCAAACUUCUUUCAAAAAAAAUUAUCCCUAAAUAAAUUAAAUGUAACCCAUCUCUUCUUAAAUAUAAGCUACACCUUGAUCUGAUUUAUUUUUUAAUAAAAACUUUUGAAUAUUAAAAUUCUAUUAAAAUAUUCAAUCUACGACGAUAUGUAAACUUAAAACUAAAGUAUAUAUAAUCGUGGACUAUCAAUUACAGGACAGGUUCCUCUGAAAAGACUAAAAUACCGCCAAAUUUUUUAAUUUUCAAGAAAAUAACUAAUACUAAUUUAGUUUAAUAAAUUUACAUUUACAAUAAUAGGGUAUCUAAUCCUAGUUUA